UCGCAGGCGGUUUCUUAAGUCUGAUGUGAAAGCCCCCGGCUCAACCGGGGAGGGUCAUUGGAAACUGGGAAACUUGAGUGCAGAAGAGGAGAGUGGAAUUCCACGUGUAGCGGUGAAAUGCGUAGAGAUGUGGAGGAACACCAGUGGCGAAGGCGACUCUCUGGUCUGUAACUGACGCUGAGGAGCGAAAGCGUGGGGAGCGAACAGGAUUAGAUACCCUGGAGGUCCACGCCU
rnacentral:rRNA from 1 species